GAGCUAUAUAAAUGCUUAUUGCCCCCUCCCCAAGAGGUCAUCCAACUUCCACUGUAAGACUUCCAGGAAACAAAACUAUUCAUGCCAGAGGAUGUCCAAGAUCAUUCAUUCCAACUGUCUCAAAUGAGGAAAUUGAGAGCACCUCACCUGGCUUUUGGCUCUGCCAAUGACCAAUUGUGUUGGCUUGGGCAAAGAGCUUCCCCUCCUUUGGGCCUCAGUUUCCACAAUUCCACCUCUUCAUCCUGGAUGCCCAUUCCAGUCUUGGAAUUCACAAACUGGAAGUACCCUCUGUCCCUGCAACCUCUUCUUCAGAUUGGAUGGUUCCUCUUAGGAUUUCCAUUUAAGGUUCAUCUGUACAAUGGGGUGACGACAACAACCACUCCUUACUUCCUGGGGAAUAAGGAGUUAUCACUAUUCAUCAACCUUAUUUUUAGUCGAAAACCCUUUUAAAUCCUGAACAUUGAGCACCAUGAAAGUGAGAGAGAUUGCUAUCCAUUCUUCCUUCCAUUCUGUUUGUGGACCACUGAUGUAAAAAAAAAACAACAAAAAACAAAAAACAAAUGUAGAAGAAAAG
rnacentral:lncRNA from 1 species